rnacentral:rRNA from 1 species
CUUCGGGUGAGCGGCGGACGGGUUAGUAACGCGUGGGAAUAUGCCCUUUACUAAGGAAUAGCCUUUGGAAACGAAGAGUAAUACCUUAUACGCCCUUCGGGGGAAAGAUUUAUCGGUAAAGGAUUAGCCCGCGUCUGAUUAGAUAGUUGGUGGGGUAACGGCCUACCAAGUCGACGAUCAGUAGCUGGUUUGAGAGGAUGAUCAGCAACACUGGGACUGAGACACGGCCCAGACUCCUACGGGAGGCAGCAGUGGGGAAUCUUAGACAAUGGGCGAAAGCCUGAUCUAGCCAUGCCGCGUGAGUGAUGAAGGUCUUAGGAUCGUAAAGCUCUUUCGCUGGGGAAGAUAAUGACUGUACCCAGUAAAGAAACCCCGGCUAACUCCGUGCCAGCAGCCGCGGUAAUACGGAGGGGGUUAGCGUUGUUCGGAAUUACUGGGCGUAAAGCGCGCGUAGGCGGAUUAUUAAGUUAGAGGUGAAAUCCCGGGGCUCAACCCCGGAACUGCCUUUAAUACUGGUAGUCUUGAGUUCGAGAGAGGUGAGUGGAAUUCCGAGUGUAGAGGUGAAAUUCGUAGAUAUUCGGAGGAACACCAGUGGCGAAGGCGGCUCACUGGCUCGAUACUGACGCUGAGGUGCGAAAGUGUGGGGAGCAAACAGGAUUAGAUACCCUGGUAGUCCACACC